GCGAGAGGGGUGCGGCGCGGCGUCCGGCUGGUCCUGGUGGGCACUCUCAGCAGAUGCAGGCUCCAGACCCGGUGGCUCUUGCGUGAUGGGACUUUCAGAACUGCAUGAAAUCCAUUAUGUGAACUAUGAAGUAAAUCAUUUAUUCGGUAAA